rnacentral:rRNA from 1 species
UACGUAGGGUGCGAGCGUUGUCCGGAAUUAUUGGGCGUAAAGAGCUCGUAGGCGGUCUGUCGCGUCGAUCGUGAAAACUUGGGGCUUAACCCUGAGCUUGCGGUCGAUACGGGCAUGACUGGAGUUCGGCAGGGGAGACUGGAAUUCCCGGUGUAGCGGUGAAAUGUGUAGAGAUCGGGAGGAACACCGGUGGCGAAGGCGGCCUUCUGGACGGUGACUGACGCUGAGGCGCGAAAGCGUGGGGAGCAAACAGG